rnacentral:rRNA from 1 species
GUGCCAGCAGCCGCGGUAAUACGUAGGUGGCAAGCGUUGUCCGGAUUUAUUGGGCGUAAAGCGAGCGCAGGCGGUUCUUUAAGUCUGAUGUGAAAGCCCCCGGCUCAACCGGGGAGGGUCAUUGGAAACUGGAGAACUUGAGUGCAGAAGAGGAGAGUGGAAUUCCAUGUGUAGCGGUGAAAUGCGUAGAUAUAUGGAGGAACACCAGUGGCGAAGGCGACUCUCUGGUCUGUAACUGACGCUGAGGCUCGAAAGCGUGGGGAGCAAACAGGAUUAGAUACCCUGGUAGUCC